rnacentral:rRNA from 1 species
CCUACGGGUGGCAGCAGUGAGGAAUAUUGGUCAAUGGCCGGAAGGCUGAACCAGCCAUGCCGCGUGAAGGUCAGUGCCCUAUGGGCGUUAAACUUCUUUUGUGCGGGAGCAAUAAUGGUCACGUGUGCCUUUUUGCAUGUACUUUAUGAAUAAGGAUCGGCUAACUCCGUGCCAGCAGCCGCGGUAAUACGGAGGAUCCGAGCGUUAUCCGGAUUUAUUGGGUUUAAAGGGAGCGUAGAUGGGUUGUUAAGUCAGUUGUGAAAGUUUGCGGCUCAACCGUAAAAUUGCAAUUGAUACUGGCAGUCUUGAGUACAGUUGAGGUAAGCGGAAUUCGUGGUGUAGCGGUGAAAUGCUUAGAUAUCACGAAGAACCCCGAUUGCGAAGGCAGCUUACUAAACUGUGACUGACAUUGAUGCUCGAAAGUGUGGGUAUCAAACAGGAUUAGAUACCCUUGUAGUC